UACGUAGGGGGCAAGCGUUGUCCGGAUUUAUUGGGCGUAAAGAGCGUGUAGGCGGUCAGGUAGGUCGGUUGUGAAAAUUGGAGGCUCAACCUUCAGAGGUCGACCGAAACCCCCUGGCUAGAGUCCGGGAGAGGGGAGUGGAAUUCCUGGUGUAGCGGUGAAAUGCGCAGAUAUCAGGAAGAACACCCGUGGCGAAAGCGGCUCUCUGGAACGGUACUGACGCUGAGACGCGAAAGCGUGGGGAGCGAACAGG
rnacentral:rRNA from 1 species